UCGGUUCCCCCAUUUUUUCCCUUUCCUGCGCCCCUCAAAAUCCCCAAUCUCUUGGCACCAAAUUCCCUAAUUUCUACCAAAAUGAAAAAACCCUAAUCGUCUCCUCACUCUCCCAGUCUUAUCUCAAGUUCAACUCAUCACUGUCUCUCUCUCUCUCUCUUCAUAUCUGCACCGAUCACUCUCUGACUCUCUCGUUGUUCAUCUCAUCGCACCGAUCAUCGCACCGCCGAUCUACUCACAGUCUCACUUUCUGGUUUUGAAUCUCUGUACCGAUCGACUCACAGGCUAAUUCAGUAUCAUCAACACGACAAUCGACUGCUCAACCUCCACAGAAUGAGGAAGUAUCUUCUUCACAAUUUUCUCUACUACUUUUUUUUUUGGGGGGGGGUCUCAUUUCAGUGCUAGCUGUUACAUUCAUGGUUGUUAGAAUCAUCCGAUUUGAUUCAUAUAAUUUGA